GUGCUCACUUUGGCAGCAUAUAUACUUUAAAAAUUUGGAACGAUACAGAGAAAAUUAGCAUGGCCCCUGCGCAAGGAUGACAUGCAAAAGUUGUCAGCAAAUUCUAUGUCCU